rnacentral:tRNA from 1 species
GUCUUUAUGGUGUAACGAUAGCACACUUAGCUCGUAUUCGAGGGGUUCAGGUUCGAGUCCCGGUGAGGGCA